GGGCCUGUAGCUCAGCAAGGUAGAGCAUCGGCCUUUUAAGCCGUUGGCCAAGGGUUCGAAUCCCUUCAGGCCCGCCA
rnacentral:tRNA from 1 species